rnacentral:rRNA from 1 species
CUACGGGCGGCUGCAGUGAGGAAUAUUGCACAAUGGGGGGAACCCUGAUGCAGCAACGCCGCGUGGAGGAUGACGCAUUUCGGUGUGUAAACUCCUUUUAUAUGUCAAGAAAAUGACGGUAGCAUAUGAAUAAGCACCGGCUAACUCCGUGCCAGCAGCCGCGGUAAUACGGAGGGUGCAAGCGUUACUCGGAAUCACUGGGCGUAAAGGACGCGUAGGCGGGUUGGAAAGUCAGGUGUGAAAUCCUACAGCUUAACUGUAGAACUGCACUUGAAACUUCUAAUCUAGAGUAUGGGAGGGGGAGAUGGAAUUAGGGGUGUAGGGGUAAAAUCCGUAGAUAUCACUAGGAAUACCUAAAGCGAAGGCGAUCUCCUGGAACAUUACUGACGCUAAGGCCUGAAAGCGUGGGGAGCAAACAGGAUUAGAUACCCCCGUAGUC